AUGUACGAGAGCCACGCGUCCACUCACAACCGCCCACUUCCCUUAUCCUCUCUCACGGGUGCUGCUGGCCACACAAUCAAUCCACAUCCAUCUUUUUCUUCCACCUCCUGUGACGCCGCUGCUCCCACCGCUCCACCUCUUAUUACUCGGCUGUCAUUUGGUGUGCCACCGCCGCGAGCGUUGCCGUGGAGCCGAAGCGGCCACCAGCAGAUCAGCAGCCGUGCCUGCUACUUCGGAGGUCCUCACUUUUUUGCUGCAAUCGGUUUGUGGGAAGCUGCAACCGGCCGUCUAGGAGCUGCAACCGGCGACGGCCACCUGCGGGAUGCGGUGGCGCUGGAAACGGUGACAUCAGGGAUGUUGGAACCCGUGGUGUUUUUUGCUGCUACCAGCUGUAAUUUUUGCUCGAACUGGUGUGUUCUUUUUCCUUGGAUCGGUGUCGGCGGUGAUUUUCUGCUGGAACCAAGUUCUAUUUUUGCUGGAACCAGUGAUAUGUUUUCUGCUAUGGGAGGAAUUUUUUGCUGGAACUGGUGUUUCCUUUGCUCGAAUUGGUGCCAGCGGUGA
rnacentral:rRNA from 1 species